rnacentral:rRNA from 1 species
AUACGAAGGGUGCAAGCGUUAAUCGGAAUUACUGGGCGUAAAGCGCGCGUGGGUGGUUUCGUAAGUUGGAGGUGAAAUCCCCGGGCUCAACCUGGGAACUGCCUUUGUGACUGCAAGGCUAGAGUGCGGCAGAGGGGGAUGGAAUUCCGCGUGUAGCAGUGAAAUGCGUAGAUAUGCGGAGGAACACCGAUGGCGAAGGCAAUCCCCUGGGCCUGUACUGACGCUCAUGCACGAAAGCGUGGGGAGCAAACAGGAUUAGAUACCCUGGUAGUCCACGCCCUAAACGAUGUCAACUGGUUGUUGGGUCUUCAUUGACUCAGUAACGAAGCUAACGCGUGAAGUUGACCGCCUGGGGAGUACGGCCGCAAGGUUGAAACUCAAAUGAAUUGACGGGG